rnacentral:rRNA from 1 species
CCUACGGGAGGCUGCAGUGGGGAGUAUUGGACAAUGGGCGAAAGCCUGAUCCAGCCAUGCCGCGUGUGUGAAGAAGGCCUUCGGGUUGUAAAGCACUUUCAGUGGGGAAGAAAGCCUUGGGGCUAAUACCCUCGAGGAAGGACAUCACCCACAGAAGAAGCACCGGCUAACUCCGUGCCAGCAGCCGCGGUAAUACGGAGGGUGCGAGCGUUAAUCGGAAUUACUGGGCGUAAAGCGCGCGUAGGCGGUCUGAUAAGCCGGUUGUGAAAGCCCCGGGCUCAACCUGGGAACGGCAUCCGGAACUGUCAGGCUAGAGUGCAGGAGAGGAAGGUAGAAUUCCCGGUGUAGCGGUGAAAUGCGUAGAGAUCGGGAGGAAUACCAGUGGCGAAGGCGGCCUUCUGGACUGACACUGACGCUGAGGUGCGAAAGCGUGGGUAGCAAACAGGAUUAGAUACCCCAGUAGUC